GCCCCGGUGGGGUAGUGGAUAUCCUUGAGGGCUGCGGACUCUCUGACCCGGGUUCAAUUCCCGGCCGGGGCA
rnacentral:tRNA from 1 species